GCUUUCUUUGCCGGCGACCGGCGCACGGGUGAGUAACACGUAUCCAACCUGCCCUUUACUCGGGGAUAGCCUUUCGAAAGAAAGAUUAAUACCCGAUAGUAUAAUGAUUCCGCAUGGUUUCAUUAUUAAAGGAUUCCGGUAAAGGAUGGGGAUGCGUUCCAUUAGGUUGUUGGUGAGGUAACGGCCCACCAAGCCUUCGAUGGAUAGGGGUUCUGAGAGGAAGGUCCCCCACAUUGGAACUGAGACACGGUCCAAACUCCUACGGGAGGCAGCAGUGAGGAAUAUUGGUCAAUGGGCGCUAGCCUGAACCAGCCAAGUAGCGUGAAGGAUGAAGGCUCUAUGGGUCGUAAACUUCUUUUAUAUAAGAAUAAAGUGCAGUAUGUAUACUGUUUUGUAUGUAUUAUAUGAAUAAGGAUCGGCUAACUCCGUGCCAGCAGCCGCGGUAAUACGGAGGAUCCGAGCGUUAUCCGGAUUUAUUGGGUUUAAAGGGAGCGUAGGUGGACUGGUAAGUCAGUUGUGAAAGUUUGCGGCUCAACCGUAAAAUUGCAGUUGAUACUGUCAGUCUUGAGUACAGUAGAGGUGGGCGGAAUUCGUGGUGUAGCGGUGAAAUGCUUAGAUAUCACGAAGAACUCCGAUUGCGAAGGCAGCUCACUGGACUGCAACUGACACUGAUGCUCGAAAGUGUGGGUAUCAAACAGGAUUAGAUACCCUGGUAGUCCACACAGUAAACGAUGAAUACUCGCUGUUUGCGAUAUACAGUAAGCGGCCAAGCGAAAGCAUUAAGUAUUCCACCUGGGGAGUACGCCGGCAACGGUGAAACUCAAAGGAAUUGACGGGGGCCCGCACAAGCGGAGGAACAUGUGGUUUAAUUCGAUGAUACGCGAGGAACCUUACCCGGGCUUAAAUUGCAGUGGAAUGAUGUGGAAACAUGUCAGUGAGCAAUCACCGCUGUGAAGGUGCUGCAUGGUUGUCGUCAGCUCGUGCCGUGAGGUGUCGGCUUAAGUGCCAUAACGAGCGCAACCCUUAUCUUCAGUUACUAACAGGUCAUGCUGAGGACUCUGGAGAGACUGCCGUCGUAAGAUGUGAGGAAGGUGGGGAUGACGUCAAAUCAGCACGGCCCUUACGUCCGGGGCUACACACGUGUUACAAUGGGGGGUACAGAAGGCAGCUAGCGGGUGACCGUAUGCUAAUCCCAAAAUCCUCUCUCAGUUCGGAUCGAAGUCUGCAACCCGACUUCGUGAAGCUGGAUUCGCUAGUAAUCGCGCAUCAGCCACGGCGCGGUGAAUACGUUCCCGGGCCUUGUACACACCGCCCGUCAAGCCAUGGGAGCC
rnacentral:rRNA from 1 species